rnacentral:sRNA from 1 species
AUUGGACCAACGCUUCCCCACUCCCGGUUAGCGCACGGCUCUGCAAAGAGCCAAUUCCCCUAUACCAGGUACAUGGACUUCGUACCUGGUUUUUUUUG